GAAAUGCGAUAAGUAAUGUGAAUUGCAGAAUUCAGUGAAUCAUCGAAUCUUUGAACGCACAUUGCGCCCGCCAGUAUUCUGGCGGGCAUGCCUGUUCGAGCGUCAUUACAACCCUCAGGCCCCCGGGCCUGGCGUUGGGGAUCGGCGGAAGCCCCCUGCGGGCACAACGCCGUCCCCCAAAUACAGUGGCCGUCCCGCCGCAGCUUCCAUUGCGUAGUAGCUAACACCUCGCAACUGGAGAGCGGCGCGGCCACGCCGUAAAACACCCAACUUCUGAAUGUUGACCUCGAAUCAGGUAGGAAUACCCGCUGAACUUAAGC
rnacentral:misc_RNA from 1 species